ACUCCUACGGGAGGCAGCAGUGGGGAAUAUUGCACAAUGGGCGCAAGCCUGAUGCAGCCAUGCCGCGUGUGUGAAGAAGGCCUUCGGGUUGUAAAGCACUUUCAGUCGUGAGGAAGGUAAUGUAGUUAAUAGCUGCAUUAUUUGACGUUAGCGACAGAAGAAGCACCGGCUAACUCCGUGCCAGCAGCCGCGGUAAUACGGAGGGUGCGAGCGUUAAUCGGAAUUACUGGGCGUAAAGCGCAUGCAGGUGGUUUGUUAAGUCAGAUGUGAAAGCCCGGGGCUCAACCUCGGAAUAGCAUUUGAAACUGGCAGACUAGAGUACUGUAGAGGGGGGUAGAAUUUCAGGUGUAGCGGUGAAAUGCGUAGAGAUCUGAAGGAAUACCGGUGGCGAAGGCGGCCCCCUGGACAGAUACUGACACUCAGAUGCGAAAGCGUGGGGAGCAAACAGGAUUAGAUACCCUGGUAGGAUAGCG
rnacentral:rRNA from 1 species